GACUCAGGUGCCUUUGCUGUUGCCUCCUUAGGCUGGGAUUUCAUAUGUUCUCACCACUAGGUGCUGCCUACAUUAGGAAUGACGAUAAAGCCUCAGUCAUUUGUGUGCCAUUUGCCAUGUAAAGACAUAUGCUCUGAGCAUAUCUAGCUGUUUUAAAAUCUUUUUAACUGCCAUAUAACAUAUAGUCAUUCCUUAAAUAACUUAAUCCACUUCAAAAUGAGCUACAGUAGUAUCUGUUUCCUUUCCUGUCCUGCUUUCUUUCAUUCUGCUCUCUACUUUGGAAACAAUCAUGUUGGGCAUUUCUGCAGCUUAUUAACUAUAUUUUCAGCUGUGGAAAAACACGUAAGUGCUGGGAAAAUUUCUUUUUUCAAUAUUUUAGCAUAGAGUAUUGCUACUUAUAUUAAGAAUUUGGAAAAGAAAAAUGGUACCAAGACUAAAUUAUUAUACUCCGAAUGAGUGAGAUAUAUCUAGGAAGGAAGCAGAUGAUGAAAGUGAUUUCUUCAAAAGAGUGAAAAAUGAUAAAUGUACACAUGGUGGCGGGGGCGUUUGCCUGAGCUUCAGCCUGUUACUCUUCAUCAUUAAGGUUUAGACAUGUCUGCAACUUUUCAUCACACAGGUAUUAAGGGCAUAAAAAAACAUGUAUUCAAAUAGAGCCCAGAGUUUUUCUUGAGGAUGAGGAGAUGUGGUUAAAGGUGAAUCCACUGUUGGAAUUCAAAUAAAGCUGGGCAUGUGUGUCGAACUUAUGUGGUGGUCCAGUAGAAGUCUAGAAGGGUUAGGCUGUGGCACUAAUUAUCUUUCUGGGAAGAACUCACCCUAAUGGAAGAGAGAGCCAGUGGGGAUAAUCUUGCUUAUAUACGUUUCCUAGGCAUUGGUGAAGAGUAGGAAGUCAGCCUACGGCCUGUAUCCUGAAACGUGGCUAGGUCCUGGAGGAAGAAAGGGCUAGAAGCAAAAAUAGAACCUUUGUGUUAAACUGUCUAACUCACUGAGAGUCAAGAAAUACUUCCUUAGUAAGACCCCUCUUUAACCACAGAAGAAAUCAAUUCUCCUCACUCUAUUGCAGGCUGCUGGACAGUCUGGAUAUCCUCAAAGCAGCCACCAGGAGAUAAUGACCAGGCUGGAUCGAGCAGGAAGAAAGACAGGGUCAUUAGGCAGAACAGAGCACACAUGCAGCACCUAAUGGAUGCUGCAAAAGGCAGCAGGGCUGCUGAAGCCACAGGGGCAGUGGCAGGCAGUGGGAGAGGGUGUCCUUCCUGGUGGAGCCUCAAGUAAAGUAAAUGCAGGUGCUGAGAAAAUUGCUUCUGAGUACACAUGCGGUAUCACCUGGGAGUGCCUGGGAGGACUUGGAGAGGGGCACAUUUACAGUUAUGGACUUCCUGCAUGAGCAAGUAGGGCAUAAAUCCAGGUUAAUUGGGUUACGGGGAUAAAGAUUUAGUAAGCCUUUUGACUUACACAUCACAUAUAUAUGCUAUUUUAGUGCAGAAAGACUUAAAUUUUAAAUAUGUUUUAGAAGCAGUGAAGUUCAAAGGCCUCCUUUGGGGUCAAUUAAGACCUGCGUAUAUGUACCUUCAAAUGUUUAAGGGAGUUGCUCCUCAAUUUAGGGGCAGCUUAAGCGAAUACGUACCUAAAUAGGCAGAAAAAACUGGCCACUGAAAAGUCUUCUGUUUUCUGUUUUUAAACUUGUAGACUCAUAUUUGUACAUUACAUCAAGCUCCAAACAUGUAGGAACAUGCUGGUCACAAUAAACUAGUGAAUUCUGCCCCAAAUAUAUAUCUCAACAUGGUUUUUCCACUGCAGCAUGGUAUACAUUCAUAUCCUUCCCUCUAUAUCUUCUUAUUUCAUUUACAAGUGUUUUAUUUAUUAAGAUCUAUGUAAUGGGCUGUAAAGGUAACAUAGACGCAAAAGUUACAGACAGAAACCCUAUGGUUACUCCAUUCUUCUAUUUGUUACACAAUCCGUGUUAUGGCACAACUAAUAUGGUCACUUAAAUGUCCCAAGUCUGACAGUCAGUGAAAAUUCAUGAUACAACUUUAAGCUAUUGUAUUGAGUGUUUAUGUAAGUUCAAUGAAUAUAGGAAGAACACAUUGAAUUCUCACCUAUAAUGUUUUCUAUAAAUGUGUGAACCAGAAUCAAAUAUAUGAACAUAGGCUAGAAAAAAGCAGAGUGUUCCGUAAUAAUUCAAGGAGUAAAAUGUAUUAAUGCUUAUUUUUGUAUAAUUUAUAGCUUGGUCCUGUAGGAAAUUACUGGAGAUUACAAUGACAUUCAAAGGUAAAAGGAUUCAACAUUACAAAUGUUCCAUUUAAUUGUACCAGAAACAAGGUGCUGAAAGUAUGAUUUAAAUACAUAUACUUCAGAUUUUGGGCAGAAGGAGAUUGAAUUAUUGUUGAAUUUGGAUCCAGAGAAAAUAUUAUAUAAGGAUUAUAUAUACAUAUAUGAUUUACACAUAAUAUACAUUAAUAGGUAAUGGCAUAUAUAUGUUCAUACCCAAAUAUAGGAGGUGAUUUGAUGCUUAUGAGUUCUUGAAACACUGCUCUUUAACUGGGAAGAGAAAUUAUGAAGGGAAUAAUGAGGAAAAGCAAAAAAAGUAGCUUUCCUCCACCAGAUAACAGUUGGUAACUUUGCAAUUUUAAUGAAAAUCUAGCAAAUCAGGUAUUGUACAACUGUUUUCUCCUCACCAAAACAGGUAAGGAGGAAGCUCAUUUUCUACUGUUGAAGUCUACAGAUGAAAAUUCCUCUAAAAGUAAAACCAUCCCCAGUAGAUGUAAUUAGUCCAGUUUUUGGUCAUUAAUAGUUCAUUUAGGUUAAUCUAGAAAAUAUAAUUGCCAGUGACAGAGGAGGAGGUAAAGAAGUUUAUGAAUCAGUAAUCUAUGGAUUAAAUAUUUUUAUGUCUUUUAAAUCAUCUAAGUAAGUAAAUUACCAUCAUGUUCCUUUAAGGAAACGGCAGAAAAUUCAAGUCUACUCCCACUCGGCACACAAAUGAACCAUUCCAUAAUAAUAUUAUCUUGACUGCAAAAAGAACAGUCUUUGUUUACAUGUAAGCUGGAAAACUUUUAAAUAAUAAUCUUGAGGGUGGAGAAUAUACAGCACUCUCUUAGGUCAAAUUAUGACCACAGUUAUAACAGACAGUGCAAAAAGCUUUGAAAGGGAUAAGAUAAGACAAAGAGAAAUGACAGGAAAACAAAGUGGCCAAAGAAAUGUUUGGCAGAAGCCCAGCAUACUCCUGGCAUCCUCUCCCUAGGCCUUUUGCCUGUCUGCAGAAUUAUCACUUAUCUUCCACCAGCUUCUCUCUCUUUAAAGAAAGGCCAGUGUACCCCUUCCAAUGCUUCAUCAAUACCUCACAUGUCACAGAGUACAAUGUAAAUGGGCUACAAGCCCAUAUUUCAUGGUUCUCCAAAACAGCUUCUCAUAAGAACAAGGUUACGCAUUUGCAAGAUUUAUAAAACAGAGGGCUGAAUCUUAAUUAGGCCUGCACUGUUAAAUGAAAAUAUUUUCUUAGACACAUUGGCACUUUUCCCUUCAAGCCAAUAAUGCUCUCCUUCUCAAACUGUCUGCUUGCUUGUUUUAAAUAAAAGGUAAGUAGAUAUUUACUUAGAGUGAUAGAGGAAAUACACACCAACUACUUGGUAUAGUAGGUAGGUGGAAAGGGACAAGGAUCCAGAUGUUCUGAGUUACAUGCUGCUGCUGCCACUAGCUUGCUUUGUCACCUGGAGACAGUCAUUAAUCUUGAUGAACCUCCAUUUGUCUGUCUAUAAAUUGAGAAAGUAGGAAAUUUCUAAGGCUGCUUGUUAGUUAUAUGAUCUGUGAUCUAACCAUAUUGGUCAAUUAUAAAGUGUCAUGCCAGAGAUAACAUUUUAUGGGUCAAUUAGAGUAUGUGGUGACUGACUGGGGAAGUCAUAUAUGAUUUUAAUAAACUUCUUUUUAAAAAGAAAUGUAAGUUCUACAAAUCUACUAAACAUAUUCCUAGAUCCUUGAUCUCACCUUCACCAAAAGGUAUCUAUCUGAUCAAGUCCUUAUCAUAAUUUUCAAACAAUUUUAUUUAAGCCUUCUUAGGCUAGUUUCUAAUUUGGCACAAGAAGGUUCAAUGUAGAUCAUCUCCCUUGAUUCUUGGAUCUUAAGGAUGGGAAAUUGGAGGUCAUGGCACAAUUCAGCAGCAAGAGUAUUAGUGCAGCCCAGGUCCUGUGGUUUGGGCCAGGCAUCUCUCCAUUGCCAGAGGUUGCCUUCAGAAGUCUGAAUGGGACACAUAGCCCAUUUUCAGGCCUUGAGAAUUCCUGUGAGAAUUUCAAGCAAGCUUUUGUUUCAACAGCUCACAUGUGCAAGGGCCACCAAGAGUUUAGUAAUGUAAAUAGAUAACAUGUCAUCAUUUAGCCAAGGAAUCACAUUAUGAGCAUAUUCAAACCACAUUCAAAAGGACACCAGAUUUCCUUGAAACAUCUGUGGAUAAAGGAAGAAAAAUCAUGGUGGAUGUGUAGCCAGCCUCCAACAUGGGCUCCAAUGAUUCCUGCCUCUUGGUAUUCAAGUCCUUGUGCAGUUUCCUCCUACAAUGUAUCAUAAUUGGUCUUUGUGACCAAGAGAAUACAGCAGAAGUGAUGGCAUGUCACUUCUGAAGCUAGGUCAUAAAAGGUACUGUGGCUUUGUGGUAUAAUAAGAAAGACAUUCUAUCUUUGUCCAUAGUGCCUGGCACAGAACUCCUGUUGAGGAACCCCUGUUCCCUCAAACCCCUGGAACACCACACAGAGAACUAUCUCCAGGCCUGGACUUCCCCUGACUUGGAGACAGCCUUAUUCUCAGAUCUCUCUCUCUUUUAAAAUGGACUAUCCUCUUUACAACCCAGAGAGCCCCAUCCAAAUGUAAGGACUGGUCUCCAAGGGGGAAGGGGAGGAGGGAUGCCAUUUAGGGUUAUAGAUUCCCCAACUCUGCCAGCUCUAACUGGCCCCUGAGUUGCUACUAUGUAAAUUAAAUCUACCCUGCACCACCCCUCUGUCUCUAUAUAUAUAAAAAAAGUAGUAGGGUGAUAGGAGCAUAUGUGUUCUAAUGAGGCAACUCUUAGCAAGCCUCUAGAUAGCUUCAGGAUGGAGGCAGGUCAUCAGAAAGACCAAGCCUUCAUUAGAAGCUUGGAGCUUUCAGCCCCAACCCUCAACCUCCAGGUCCAGGGAAAAGGGGUUAGAGAUUGAGUUAAUCUUGAAUGGUCAGUGAUGUAAUUAAUUGUGCUUACUUAAUAAAACCUCCAAAAAAGCCCCUAAACAAUGGAGGUUUAGAAGAGCUUCUGGGUUGGUGAACACAUGGAGGAGCUGGGUGAGUGGUGCACAUGGAGAGUGCAUGGAAGCCUCCAACCCCCAUACCUUCUAUGAAUCUCUUCCAUUUGGCUGUUCCUGAAUUGUAUCCUUUAUAAUAAACCUGUAAUAGCAAGUAAAGUGCUUUCCUGAGUUCUGUGAGUAAUUCUAGCAAAUUAUUGAUCCUGGGCUGCCUGGUGGGGAUCGGGGAUGUGGUUGGGGAAAUGUCCGAGUUGGGGAGGUGCUGUUCUCUGAAAGGUAGCCUAAGACACCCCAUCUGCAGUUGGCAUCUGAAGUAGGGGCAGUCUUGUGGGAUUAAGCCCUUGACCCAGGGGUGUCUGCACUAACUCUGGGAAUUGGUAUCAGAAUUGAAUAGAAUUGUUGGACACCCAGUUGGUGUCCGAGUUGGUUGGUGUGAGUAAAAGCCUCUUAGAUUUAUUGCUUGUUCUCUUUUCCUAUCUGAUCCUUUCUCUCUGUCUCAGAUCACUCAUUGUGGAAGAAAUCUGAUGCCAUGUCUUGAGGACACUCAAGUGGCCUAUGGAGAGGCGAACAUAAAGACAAGAAACCCAAUCUCAAGCACUAUGAGACUCCCUCCUCUCCAUCUCCAAGGGUCAGGCCAUGGUCUUAGUCAUUGCCAAGAGCAUCACAGAAGGCCUCUGCCUCCGGUUCCUACCUGGGCCCUUUCUAUGCUCGUUAACUGAUGCUGCAGCCUGACUUCUUCAAGACUAAGUUGGGCUGUAUGCUUGCAGUCAUGGGAGGAAAACAAAAGAGGAUGAGGAACUUGGACUCAGCUAGCUUUGGCGACUUGUUGAGAAAGUCAGAACCAGUUAGUUGUGGAAUAUAAAAUUGAGCUCGGCUCUCUUCCUACCUAGUCUUUUCUCUGCUCCGCUCCCACACUUCAGUGAGAGUUGCUUUCCUGAAGGAGUAAGUUCUAAAGCAGGAUUGGAAGUUCCUAUAGGGACAAAGAGAAGAGGCAUCCAUGAGUGGCAAGGAGUGUGAAAGGGAUGAAAAACACAUAGGAAGAAAUGGAGACAGGCAGAAGGUCCCAGCUACAGGACAGAAAAGCCAGGGUGUGGGCUUCUGAGAGAUGAUGCUGAGUGGUGAGUCACGGGUGACUAAGGGAGCCAUUGACAUCAGAUUGCAAAUUCUCCCCUCCUACCCCAUGAUGAAGAAGUUUAUCUCCUAUAUCUCUUUAUAUAUGAAAAACCAUAAAGAAAACACCAGUAUCUUCACAUAAUGUACCAUCCAAUGAAAGCAUACGCCAUCUCACUUGGGCCCUUUAUCAAUCUUAGUCACAGUGCCCAAUAUCAUUUCCAUUUCUCAUUCUCUGAGUUCUGUUAUCCAAAGCUUAUCCUCUUGCCUGGACUAUAGAGACAGAGGUGAAAUCUUUGAGAAGUGGAUCCUAUCCACUUGUCAUUACACCUCUGUAAUUCUUAGUGAUGUUCUACGUUGCCUCCCACAGUGACCCUGUACAAACCAUUGCAAGAGUUUCGGGGGUGGGGGACUGUUACUUGAGCCAACUUCUUCCAUCCUGCAAAGGCAGGGAUGGAGCUCAGGAGAUGGUGUUUUGCAUCUUUACAACUGGAACAAGAUGAAAGGUCUCUGAAGCAAUAAUGAGAUCCAGGCUUGAUUCAGGACAAGAGGCCAGAUGGGAACAGUAGAGCAUUAGGAUGUUGUGAUGCUGGGGUAACCUUUCCAUAAUGAUGUUGUGUGGCCUGAAGUUUGAUGCCAAGAAUCUACAGUGAUUUCUGGCUUAGAAAUAAGAAAUUGAUCAGUAAAUGAAAAAAAAAAAAGUCUACCUGUAUCCAAUCUCUCCCCACAAGCCCCCCUCCCAGCAUUGUUAUCUAUUUGUAUACACAACAGUAUUUUAGCAAAUGAAAAUUCUCAGAAUUCUAAUCACAUCCUUAUCCCAAAGCCUGGAUUUAGUCAGAAAGCUUUAUGGUGCUUCUGACUCAGUAGAGUUAGUUAUCCUGUUUAAUUGGAUUGACGGUGACAAUUGUAAUUACCUUAGAUGAGAUUGCCUGUAAUGUAAUUAUACUUCCUUCAUCAGCAUGAGCUGGACUUGUGGAAUACAUACAGAAGAUGCCUCCAAUUACUGAGAGGUUAAGAAGAACAUUAUAUUGCCUCACAAAUCCUGUUUGUUACUGUAUAGAAUUGUAAGAAUUAUGGAAGAAACUGAAGGAAUUACUCCUCUAAAGCAGAUACUCCUGGAAAGUUACACAACUUGGCUAAUACUCUCCUGCUAGAGUUGGACAGGAAGACCUUACCAAAGCUGAAAGAUAAGAGAAACAUUUGUUUGGGCUGAGGCAGCUGUUUCAUGAAAUGCAACAUCAUAUCUCAUUUUUCUUCAUGAACUUCUCUCAUUUAACAAUUAGGCUGGAAGAACACACAUUACCAAUAGGUUCAGUCGUAUAACACUCAGAACCUGGAAAUAAUGAGUUGGAAGUUUCAGAUCCUACAAAAUAAAUCAGUUACUCCAUCAAUUCUAUAAUAUAAGGCAAAGAAUCUGAAAAUUGAAGGAAGAUAUUUUGAACAACACUGUGCAAAAGCUAUUGCUGAGUUAGGUAUUCAGUUAAGCCAAACACCACGCCUGGUUCUCAGUUUGUUUUGCAAAAGCAUUUAUUCUACAUUUUAAAUAUGCACAUGUUUCAACUUGGGCUAGAAAGACUUAACUAAAAAUAACACCACUAUCACCAAGUGAUGCUAUGGUUGACCGAUACUCCAGGAUUUGAAAAAAAAAUUCCCCAAAUGGUACAAAUUCCCCAAAUGCUACAAAUUCCCUAGGAACUGGAAGCUUUUCCUCUCCUUAAGGUGAAAGACUGCUUCUCCUCUUGGUGUUUUGCCAUUAAAAAAAGAAAGUAUUUAGCAAACAACUAGCAGAUCCAUCAAAAGGUUAGGAUUCUUUUUAUUUUAGUGCUCUUUCUUAAUGGGCAAAAUUGAUUGAUUAGUUCACCUGGAAUGUUCUUAGCCUUAGGGCAGAAACAGAGCUUUGUAUGCAUUAGUGGACUGGGUUUAUAAAAGAAAAAAGUCCACAUUCAAGAAUACAGAGAAUUUCAAAAAUACAAGAAAAUAGAAAAAAGAAAAACAAGGUCUGGAAGCAUAUUAAAAUUCUUGUAUUCAUUAAAAAUCAAAUGGCUGUGUUUUCAGUUGUAUUGAGUUAUCAUAUGUGCACUGGUUCUUUGCCUUAGUUCCAAAUGUACUCAUAUUAUCAUCUCUAAAUCCAUCUGGAUAGUUUAUACAGUGAACCCUGGAAUCACCUUAGUUUCUCCAAACUCCAUCUACUUUUUGAGAAAAAAAAAAAGCGUAAGGCAGACCUUUCCCCAUUAGAUCUCCAACCUCUGUUGCUCCCUUCCCUCACUUGUUGGUAAAACUACUUUCUGGAAAGUUUGUUUACCUUUCAGACAAGACAAGGGGUGAAACAGAGGAGCAACAACCUCCUUGCCGUUGGCUAGAAUGAAGUGAGGGGAGUUACCAGGAUGCAGUGGUAUUAAUCCCCUGUUACUCUGAUGUUACCUCAGACCCUCUUCUAUUUAUUUGGCCAUACUCCCAGCACAGUGAUUUACAUCUUGGAGGAAGUAGUAUUUAAAUGUAUGUGCAUAAGAUUCUGUUGGGGAGUUUAUUAACAAUGCAGAUUCCUGAGCUCUAGCCUGCUCUAUGAAAUCUGCAUCCCUAGCAGAUUAGCACCCAGGAAUGCUCAUCGAUAAGCUUUUCCAGCGAGUAUGAUUAGGUAGGUGGUCUCAUGACCACAUUUUGGGAAACACAGACUUAGGAUGAUAUGAAAAGUGACGUCAGGCUGUGCUAAGUGCCAAGCCUUGAGUGGAAAGGUGUUUUAAGUCGCUAUCUCAUCUCAGAGUACAUAAUAAAUAUUUAAAUUUGAGAAAACUAGUAUAUAAUAUAUAAGUAAAACCUGUUAUUAUUUGCUAUUGUUUUUCUUUAUGGUUUCCACACAGAUAUCUGAUCUGCCUUAAGCAUUAUUUGCCUUGGUGAUCUGUAAAUUCCUGAAAAAGGGCGAAAGCUUAGGUGACAUACACUCUAAUUAAUGUGGCCCUCAUAUACUGUUUAAGUAACAGAACCCUUACCACUUACAGCUGGAAAGACUUUUAAAAAAUGUAGCCCAAGCUUUUUAAUUUUUUCAGGUGAAGACGCUUUUAUGCAGAGAGAUGAACUAAUGUAGGAAUCAUUUUGUACAGGGGAGUGGUCUGAAAUAUUAAUGGGCUAUUUUAACCAUCAGCUUGAAUAAUUCAAAGGUGUCUGCUUAAUUCUUGUGCUUUCCCAGUUCAGAUGAAAAUAUCCACAAAGAGAACUAUGUAAGUAAAUACAAUUAAUCAUAAUCAAUCAUGUACUGUCUUGGAUUUCCCUAAAACCAAAACACUGAAAUGGACACAUGACAUCCUUCUGGUCCUAAUUUUCCACCAAUUCAUGAAACAUUUCAUGCUUUGCUUGGGACAGCACAAAUCUUUCAACCUCCAAUUAUAUUAAUAUUAUGAGGGCACUGAAGUGCCCAAAUGUGACAUGAAGUCCUUGAGUGUGGAAUGGCCUUUUCCAAUAGACAUACAGUUUGCAUAAAUGGAAAUGAACACAAUAUUAUCACCCCUUGAGAUUUCCUGGUUUUGGAACAAAGAGGUGGUGGUCCUGGAUGCUUUACAGUAUAAUCUCCUUUUAGAGAUUCUUAGUGCACAAUAUUAUAAAUUCAGAGUUCUUCUGAAAUAAAGAAAAACAUUACCUUUA
rnacentral:lncRNA from 1 species